GUCUGUGGCCAUAUCACCCUGAACAGGCCUGAGCUCAUCUGAUCUCGGGAGCUAGGCAGGGUCCGGCCUGCUUAGUUCCUGGAUGGGAGAGUCU
rnacentral:rRNA from 1 species